UUCAGCGGGGAGGAAGGGAGUAAAGUUAAUACCUUUGCUCAUUGACGUUACCCGCAGAAGAAGCACCGGCUAACUCCGUGCCAGCAGCCGCGGUAAUACGGAGGGUGCAAGCGUUAAUCGGAAUUACUGGGCGUAAAGCGCACGCAGGCGGUUUGUUAAGUCAGAUGUGAAAUCCCCGGGCUCAACCUGGGAACUGCAUCUGAUACUGGCAAGCUUGAGUCUCGUAGAGGGGGGUAGAAUUCCAGGUGUAGCGGUGAAAUGCGUAGAGAUCUGGAGGAAUACCGGUGGCGAAGGCGGCCCCCUGGACGAAGACUGACGCUCAGGU
rnacentral:rRNA from 1 species